UGCACCAUCUCCUCUAUGUCCUGUAGAAUGACAGCAAUCUCCGAUAGUUGUUGUCGACGCGAAUUCCACAGAGAAACAAGCUGCAGCGAGUCCGUCUCCAUGAUCAAAUCUCUGAUCUCGCCCAUGUUAAGAGCCAAGCGUAGGCCAUCGCGACACGCUUCAGCUUCUGUGACCAAGGCUGAGGAUGUAGAAGGCAACCAUCUAGCUGAAGCGGCGAGAAAAGAAUCAUCAGAAGUUCUCAACACAGCGCCCGUUGAUCCUUUCAUUUCUGCUGCUUGAAAACCACCAUCACAGUUGAGCUUCACUACACCUUCUGGUGGGGGUUGCCAGUUAUCUGCACUGGUGGUUGGCCCCCUUCGAGUAUUUUGCUGCACUAUUAAUAGGUAAUAACACGCAUCCAUUGCCAGUCAAUCGCUAAUGCAGGGUUAAUUGGAUUCUUCCCAUGAUGGUAAUCAUUGCGUGUGUUCCACAGGGACCACGUGCCAGAAGAACUAUUCCGUCAUCCUCUCGGAUGCUAGCACCCGGUUCGGACACACGGUCUAACAUUUAUCUAUACUUCCGACCCUGUUCCAUUCCACCGGCGCGGUUCCCUGUCCCUAGCGGCGAUUCGGUUCACCGGCGGUGCGGCACGCACGGCGCCUUGCUGCAGGAUGGGCAGCAGAUGCCUCCGCGGCUCGUGGCUCGCCCUACGAUCGUCCUGUAGGAUAAGGGAUGGCAGGCGGCUGUCACCCAGAGCCCACGCUCGUCGGCGGGUACUCAUCAGUUCGCCGGAUUGAGCUUCAGGCCUGUGUCUGCUGCCUCUGAUGAUGAUGAUGAAAGCUUCUAUGGAAAGAAGACGGUCGUCGCGAGCCGUGGCCCCCUCUUCGAAUCGAGACCCGGUACCCUCGAAUCUCUGAUUCCCCUCCGCCGCCCUGCCCAAAGCCGGCCUCGGGUCGGGAAGGGGUUGGACGAGGGGACUGCGGGCCGCCCGUUCCACGAGCGCCGCCGAUCUCGGGUUGGACGAGGUGCUCAACUUCGGUGGCUUCGGCGGCGGGGGUGAAGGGGAGGAGGCUGGUGGGGGCGACGGCCAGCCGGCGACGACGUAGUACAAGUCCAAGAACCUUUAGGCCGAGCGGAGGCGCCGCGGCAGCCUAACAGCCACAUCCUCGCGGUCAGGGCCGUCGUGCCCAACAUCACCAAGGUGCCCUGACCCUUUUCCCUUUUGUUCCGAUGAGCAAGGAGUCCACCCUGUCGGAUGCGAUCGACCGCAUAAAGAAGCUCCAGAACCAGAUUAUGUGAUGAAGCAACAAGUGCUCUUGAUAGGACUACUGAAGCCUCAAUUUUGAAUUCUCUGAAAUCUUUAUCCGUUGGCCGAGCAUCAACUUUUAUUGCUCAUCAACUCACAACUGCAAUGCAGUGUGAUCAGGUAUGCUUUUGCAACUUCUCAAGAUUCAAGAAACCUCAGUACUCUUUGAACUCAUCUAUUUUCCAGACUAUAUAUAACUACAAAGCUUCCCAGUACACUCUAGAGUGGCAACUGCUUGUUGAUUUCAUCUUUUCUCUGAUAUUUUGAUGAGUCCUGUUUCAAGUUUGAACUUAAAGAUAAUUGUUUCGGAGAAUGGGAAUUUAAUAGAACAAGGACCCCAUGAUGCUCUUCUGUCAAAGGUUGGGCGAUAUGCGGAAUUGUGUUUUCAUUAGGACAGCAGUGAUGCCAUUGACCCUGCUGUAGUUAACCUAGAGGUUUGAUUGACAGUGUAUACUUUUCCUUUCUGCAAGGGAAAGUCUCGUACCUGAGAGGGGAGCAGGUUUCAACUUAUCUGCGCCUUGUAAAUGGAGUAGGAUUUUAGAUAUGUGGGGACGUAAUUCUUUUUCCCCUUCGAGAUUAUAUAGACAAUCCCGGCUGUUUUUUUCAUGGCAAUGUAACAUUUCUUUAGCACAAGGAAUAAGACUAGUAAAUAUUUAUUUGUCUUGGCUCAAUUAUCAUUUUGGUACAGAUGCUAUUACUGUGUAAAUGUAUUACCAUUUUGCUUGC